CCUACGGGAGGCAGCAGUGGGGAAUAUUGGACAAUGGGCGAAAGCCUGAUCCAGCCAUGCCGCGUGUGUGAAGAAGGUCUUCGGAUUGUAAAGCACUUUAAGUUGGGAGGAAGGGCAGUUACCUAAUACCUUGCUGUUUUGACGUUACCGACAGAAUAAGCACCGGCUAACUCUGUGCCAGCAGCCGCGGUAAU
rnacentral:rRNA from 1 species